UACGGGGGGGGCAAGCGUUGUUCGGAAUUACUGGGCGUAAAGGGCUCGUAGGCGGCCAACUAAGUCGGACGUGAAAUCCCUCGGCUCAACCGGGGAACUGCGUCCGAUACUGGAUGGCUCGAGUCCGGGAGAGGGAUGCGGAAUUCCAGGUGUAGCGGUGAAAUGCGUAGAUAUCUGGAAGAACACCCGUGGCUAAGGCGGCUCUCUAGUACGGUACUGACGCUGAGACGCGAAAGCGUGGGGAGCGAACAGG
rnacentral:rRNA from 1 species